AUUGAACGCUGGCGGCAUGCCUUACACAUGCAAGUCGAACGGUAACAGGUCUUCGGAUGCUGACGAGUGGCGAACGGGUGAGUAAUACAUCGGAACGUGCCCGAGAGUGGGGGAUAACGAGGCGAAAGCUUUGCUAAUACCGCAUACGAUCUCAGGAUGAAAGCAGGGGACCGCAAGGCCUUGCGCUCACGGAGCGGCCGAUGGCAGAUUAGGUAGUUGGUGGGAUAAAAGCUUACCAAGCCGACGAUCUGUAGCUGGUCUGAGAGGCCGACCAGCAACACUGGUACUGAGGCACGGCCAAGUCUCCUCCGGGGGUCAGCAGUGGGGAAUUUUGGACAAUGGGCGCAAGCCUGGUCCAGCCAUGCCGCGUGCAGGAUGAAGGCCUUCGGGUUGUAAACUGCUUCUGUACGGAACGAAAAGACUCUGGUUAAUACCUGGGGUCCAUGACGGUACCGUAAGAAUAAGCACCGGCUAACUACGUGCCAGCCGCCGCCGUAAAAC
rnacentral:rRNA from 1 species